rnacentral:rRNA from 1 species
UAAUGUUUAAGCAAGGUUUUAGGUUGUUUCUUACUUUUAUUAUUUGGUAUUGGGUAUUUUAAAUAAAAUAUUAUAUUUUAUGGGAUAAGUAUAGUAGUGAACAUUUAGUUUAGGUUAUAGUUUAGUUUUGUACCGUAGGGGGCUGGCACGUAUUUAAUGAAAAGAAGGAGUUAAUUUUUGUACCUUUUGUAUCAGGGAUGAUCAAAAUAUUUGGCUUAUUAGUUAAGGUCUCGAAGUGAAAUGAGUAAAUAUAUUAUUAUUGUUUAUGUAGAAGAAUAAAAUUAUUAAUAAUAUUUUGGUGAUGAAAUGUCAGUCGAUUUUCAUAUAUCUAGUUUUUUUUGAAACAAAUUUAAUUUGAUCUUUUAUUUAAAGAUGUAAGAGUUGUAUCUCAAGAGGGAAUAGCUUCUUGGGUGAUGUGUAGGGUGAAAAAGUUAUUUGUCUUUUAUUUAGGCUUAAAGUCAGCCAUAUUUUUAAAUCGUUCUAGGUAAUAAGUUUAUUAAUAAUUAUUUAUAUGUUGCUUACUAAUCACGAAUAAAAAAAAUUUUAUUUUAAUUUAUUUAAUAAUUUUAUAAUGAUUGUAUUAGUAUUAGAAUUUUGUGAGUUAAAAAAGUUAAACUUUUAAGUUUAAAUAUAUGAAGUAGCCGGUUACAAUUAAGGAACUCGGCAAAUUUUACCUCUGCCUGUUUAUCAAAAACAUGUCUGUGCGGAGUUAGUGCACAGUCUGGCCUGCCCCCUGAAAACUUUAAAGGGCCGCGGUAUUUGAACCGUGCUAAGGUAGCAUAAUAAAUAGUCUUUUAAUUGAGGUCUAGGAUGAAUGGUUGGACAGGAGGCAAUCUGUUUUAAUUGUAAUGUUUGAAUUUUACUUCUAAGUGAAAAGGCUUAGAUUGGAUGGUGGGACGAUAAGACCCUAUAAAGCUUUACAUUUUAUUUUUAGGUUAAAGAAUUUAUGGUUUUUUAUUCUUAUUUAAUAGUAUGUUUCGUUGGGGCGACGAGAAUAUAAAAUAUUAACUGUUUUUUUAUAAAAAUAAGUUUUUUAGGAGAUUUGAUCCUUUAUAGAGAUUAAGAGAGUUAAGUUACUUUAGGGAUAACAGCGUAAUUUUUCUUGAGAGUUCAUAUCGACAGAAGUAGUUGCGACCUCGAUGUUGAAUUAAGAUACCUCCCAGGUGCAGCAGCUUUGGUGGUGGGUCUGUUCGACCCUUAAAAUCUU